rnacentral:tRNA from 1 species
UACUUAUAUAGCUUAUAGAGAGCGUAGUAUUGAAGAUACUAGGGAAAUUUAAAAUUUUUAAGU